UUAAAUAUAUUUGAAUGAAGAGUUUGAUCCUGGCUCAGGAUGAACGCUGACAGAAUGCUUAACACAUGCAAGUCGAUUCGAUUUACCUUCGGGUAUUGAGGAUGGCGGACGGGUGAGUAACGCGUAAGGAACUUGCCUCUUGGUCUGGGACAACUGUUGGAAACGACAGCUAAUACCGGAUAUUAUGAGAUUCUCGCAUGAGAAACUUAUGAAAGCUAUAUGCGCCAAGAGAGAGCCUUGCGUUCCAUUAGCUAGUUGGUGGGGUAACGGCCCACCAAGGCGACGAUGGAUAGCCGGCCUGAGAGGGUGAACGGCCACAAGGGGACUGAGACACGGCCCUUACUCCUACGGGAGGCAGCAGUGGGGAAUAUUGGACAAUGGGCCACAAGCCUGAU
rnacentral:rRNA from 1 species